rnacentral:misc_RNA from 1 species
AAGACUAUAGACCUGCGGAGUACCUGCGGAGGGAUCAUUACCGAGUUUUCAACUCCCUAACCCUUCUGUGAACCUACCUAUCGUUGCUUCGGCGGACUCGCCCCAGCCCGGACGCGGACUGGACCAGCGGCCCGCCGGGGACCUCAAACUCUUGUAUUCCAGCAUCUUCUGAAUACGCCGCAAGGCAAAACAAAUGAAUCAAAACUUUCAACAACGGAUCUCUAGAUCGGAAGAGCACAC